AGUUUGAUCCUGGCUCAGGACGAACGCUGGCGGCGUGCUUAACACAUGCAAGUCGAACGGAGCGCUCAUGAAAGAGUUUUCGGACAAUGGAUUGAGUUGCUUAGUGGCGGACUGGUGAGUAACGCGUGAGGAACCUGCCUUCCAGAGGGGGACAACAGUUGGAAACGACUGCUAAUACCGCAUGACGCAUGACUGUGGCAUCACAGACAUGUCAAAGAUUUAUCGCUGGAAGAUGGCCUCGCGUCUGAUUAGCUAGUUGGUGAGGUAACGGCCCACCAAGGCGACGAUCAGUAGCCGGACUGAGAGGUUGGCCGGCCACAUUGGGACUGAGAUACGGCCCAGACUCCUACGGGAGGCGGCAGUGGGGAAUAUUGGGCAAUGGACGCAAGUCUGACCCAGCAACGCCGCGUGAAGGAAGAAGGCUUUCGGGUUGUAAACUUCUUUUAAGGGGGAAGAGCAGAAGACGGUACCCCUUGAAUAAGCCACGGCUAACUACGUG
rnacentral:rRNA from 1 species